GAUGAACGCUGGCGGCGUGCCUAAUACAUGCAAGUCGAGCGAACAGACGAGGAGCUUGCUCCUCUGACGUUAGCGGCGGACGGGUGAGUAACACGUGGAUAACCUACCUAUAAGACUGGGAUAACUUCGGGAAACCGGAGCUAAUACCGGAUAAUAUAUUGAACCGCAUGGUUCAAUAGUGAAAGACGGUUUUGCUGUCACUUAUGGAUGGAUCCGCGCCGCAUUAGCUAGUUGGUAAGGUAACGGCUUACCAAGGCAACGAUGCGUAGCCGACCUGAGAGGGUGAUCGGCCACACUGGAACUGAGGCACGGUCCAGACUCCUACGGGAGGCAGCAGUAGGGAAUCUUCCGCAAUGGGCGAAAGCCUGACGGAGCAACGCCGCGUGAGUGAUGAAGGUCUUCGGAUCGUAAAACUCUGUUAUUAGGGAAGAACAAAUGUGUAAGUAACUAUGCACGUCUUGACGGUACCUAACCAGAAAGCCACGGCUAACUACGUG
rnacentral:rRNA from 1 species